UACGGAGGGGGCUAGCGUUGUUCGGAAUUACUGGGCGUAAAGCGCGUGUAGGCGGCUCGAUAAGUCUGCUGUGAAAGUCCAGGGCUCAACCCUGGGAUGCCGGUGGAUACUGUCGAGCUCGAGUCCGGAAGAGGCGAGUGGAAUUCCUGGUGUAGCGGUGAAAUGCGCAGAUAUCAGGAGGAACACCAAUGGCGAAGGCAGCUCGCUGGGACGGUACUGACGCUGAGACGCGAAAGCGUGGGGAGCAAACAGG
rnacentral:rRNA from 1 species